rnacentral:rRNA from 1 species
UACGGGUCUAGGGAAUACCCCGGAUCCGUUUUGCCCCCUGUCCCUAGCUUCAUAAUAAAAUUGUGGAGACUAUGUGGCAAAAGAAAAACAAGGGAUUUAAAAGAACGGGGGGGGGGAGGACCCUUAGGGGUCCCCCCCCCGGGAUCCGAAGGGUCCGCCACGCCCCGUCCCGAUUUAUAUGAAAAACCACUCUUUUUAUUAAGAUUACUGUCUAACACCGUACAAGUAAGAUAGUUUGGUUGGGGCGACCGCCUUCGAAAAAGUAUCGAAGGCGCACAUAAGAUUAAUCAGGAGAAGGAUCCGAAGGAUCUUUUUCUCGGGGGCAAUGUCCCAAAAAAAGGAGAUUAAUUUGACUGAGAGGGCAACAACCCGAACAGACGUCAAAGGAUAGACCGGGGGGGGAAUCCUACAGAUUCCUUCCCCCCCUUCUUUUGGCGGGUCAUAGUGAUC